UGGCGGACGGGUGAGUAACGCGUGGGUAACCUGCCUCACACUGGGGGGCAACAGUUAGAAAUGACUGCUAAUACCGCAUAAGCGCACAGGACCGCAUGGUCUAGUGUGAAAAACUCCGGUGGUGUGAGAUGGACCCGCGUUUGAUUAGCUAGUUGGUGGGGUAACGGCCUACCAAGGCGACGAUCAAUAGCCGACCUGAGAGGGUGACCGGCCACAUUGGGACUGAGACACGGCCCAA
rnacentral:rRNA from 1 species